rnacentral:tRNA from 2 species
CGCGGGGUGGAGCAGUUGGCAGCUCGUCGGGCUCAUAACCCGAAGGCCGUAGGUUCAAGUCCUACCCCCGCAACCA